UGGUGGAGUGAUUUGUCUGGUUAAUUCCGUUAACGAACGAGACCUCAGCCUGCUAACUAGUGACACAUAUCUUUGAUAUGUGAUUACUUCUUAGAGGGACUAUUUGUGUUUAAUGAAUGGAAGUUUGAGGCAAUAACA
rnacentral:rRNA from 1 species